rnacentral:rRNA from 1 species
AGAGUUUGAUCCUGGCUCAGGAUGAACGUUGGCGGCGUGCCUAAUACAUGCAAGUCGAACGAGAUUUUAUUAAUUGAUUACUUCGGUAUGAUUUUUCUAAAAUCGAGUGGCGGACGGGUGAGUAACACGUGGGUAACCUGCCCUUAAGUGGGGGAUAACAUUUGGAAACAGAUGCUAAUACCGCAUAAACCUCAGAAACACAUGUUUCUGAGUUGAAAGGCGGCUUUCGAGCUGUCGCUUUUGGAUGGACCCGCGGCGUAUUAGCUAGUUGGUGAGGUAAAGGCUCACCAAGGCAGUGAUACGUAGCCGACCUGAGAGGGUGAUCGGCCACAUUGGGACUGAGACACGGCCCAAACUCCUACGGGAGGCAGCAGUAGGGAAUCUUCCACAAUGGACGAAAGUCUGAUGGAGCAACGCCGCGUGAGUGAAGAAGGUUUUCGGAUCGUAAAACUCUGUUGUUGGAGAAGAACACGUUUGAGAGUAACUGUUCAGACGUUGACGGUAUCCAACCAGAAAGCCACGGCUAACUACGUGCCAGCAGCCGCGGUAAUACGUAGGUGGCAAGCGUUAUCCGGAUUUAUUGGGCGUAAAGCGAGCGCAGGCGGUUUCUUAAGUCUGAUGUGAAAGCCUUCGGCUUAACCGGAAGAAGUGCAUUGGAAAACUGGGGAAACUUGAGUGCCAAAGAGGGCCAGGGGAAAUUCCCAUGUGUAGCCGGGGAAAUGCGUUGGAUAUAUGGAAGAACCACCAGUGGCGGAGGCGGGUUGUCUGGUCUGUAACUAAACCCUGAGGCUCGAAAAGCAUGGGUAGCGAACAGGAUUAGAUACCCUGGUAGUCCAUGCCGUAAACGAUGAAUGCUAGGUGUUGGAGGGUUUCCGCCCUUCAGUGCCGCAGCUAACGCAUUAAGCAUUCCGCCUGGGGAGUGCGACCGCAAGGUUGAAACUCAAAGGAAUUGACGGGGGCCCGCACAAGCGGUGGAGCAUGUGGUUUAAUUCGAAGCAACGCGAAGAACCUUACCAGGUCUUGACAUCCUAUGCCAAUCUGAGAGAUCAGACGUUCCCUUCGGGGACAUAGUGACAGGUGGUGCAUGGUUGUCGUCAGCUCGUGUCGUGAGAUGUUGGGUUAAGUCCCGCAACGAGCGCAACCCUUAUGACUAGUUGCCAGCAUUUAGUUGGGCACUCUAGUAAGACUGCCGGUGACAAACCGGAGGAAGGUGGGGACGACGUCAAAUCAUCAUGCCCCUUAUGACCUGGGCUACACACGUGCUACAAUGGAUGGUACAACGAGUUGCGAACCCGCGAGGGCAAGCUAAUCUCUUAAAGCCAUUCUCAGUCCGGACUGUAGGCUGCAACUCGCCUACACGAAGUCGGAAUCGCUAGUAAUCGCGGAUCAGCAUGCCGCGGUGAAUACGUUCCCGGGCCUUGCACACACCGCCCGUCA